rnacentral:rRNA from 1 species
UACGUAGGGUGCGAGCGUUAAUCGGGAUUACUGGGCGUAAAGCGUGCGCAGGCGGUUUUGUAAGCCAGAUGUGAAAUCCCCGGGCUUAACCUGGGAAUGGCAUUUGGGACUGCAAGGCUGGAGUGUGGCAGAGGAGACUGGAAUUCCUGGUGUAGCAGUGAAAUGCGUAGAUAUCAGGAGGAAUACCGAUGGCGAAGGCAGGUCUCUGGGCUGACACUGACGCUCAUGCACGAAAGCGUGGGGAGCAAACAGG